UACGGGGGGGGCAAGCGUUGUUCGGAAUUACUGGGCGUAAAGGGCUCGUAGGCGGCCAACUAAGUCAGUUGUGAAAUCCCUCGGCUUAACCGGGGAACUGCGUCUGAUACUGGAUGGCUAGAGAUUGGGAGAGGGAUGCGGAAUUCCAGGUGUAGCGGUGAAAUGCGUAGAUAUCUGGAGGAACACCGGUGGCGAAGGCGGCAUCCUGGACCAACACUGACGCUGAGGAGCGAAAGCCAGGGGAGCAAACGGG
rnacentral:rRNA from 1 species